rnacentral:lncRNA from 1 species
CUGAUAAAUAUUAUUUUAAAAAUAUUUCUUCUACCUUCUUGAUGGAUAUAAGAUGUUCAUAAAUCUUAAGGCAUUCUUUUUGGAAAAGAAAUUUCUUGAUGAAGAAACUAUUGCCAUUAAGAGCAAGUUUGGUGAAGCUUGAUAGGUAAAGAAACCGACUCUGACACAAACCAACAAAAUCAAAAUUGAUUAGAUCAAUUUCGGAGCCCAAUGUAAAGGUAUCCUUGA